UGUAAGUAUGUGUUGAAAGAGGAUAGAACCUCAAGAUAUAUAAGAUGGAGAGCCAGGAAGCCGUGCAGAAGAAGUUGACCUCUGACAGGGUACCCAACUCUAAAACACUACCAGCACAGAAUUUGUGUUUGACACCAAGGAGAUACAAUGCAUUUUAUGAUUUAUGCCUUCCUUAUGAUGCUGUGUGUGAAGUCUGGCAGCUUUGCACCCAUUAUAGACACCUGCUCAAAUAUAAGGUUGCAGGUUGACAGGAUAAGAGAAAUGUUGACCACAGAAAAUUUCACACCUACUUCAAGUGCAAGCAGUGGCAUCUCUACUGAAAAUGACUUUAGAGAGACAAAGUGUGCAGUUUUACAGAAACUUGGUGAUUACUAUGACUGUGAUGUGGCAUUCCAACAAGAUGGCCUUAAAAUCAAGAAUGAAAUUCAAGGCCUAAUUAAUAACUUACAGAUGCACAUGUGCUCAGAAGACGAAAAAACGUGCAAUAUAUCACAACCCUCGUGCCCCUUGGAAAUUCAACAACUCUCUUUGUGGGACAGAACUAGAGCUUUUGAGAAUCAGGUCAUUGGGGUGUGUUUUCAAAUAAUGGAACAUGUGUGUCCUCAAGUGUCUUAAAAAGCUAAAAAGUAUCCUGCCACUUUUAUAUUUAUAAACUUUAUAUUUUUAUUUAUCAUUUAAUCAUUUAAUUAAUUUAUCAUUAAUGUUUUUAUAUGUUUUUAUAUGAUAUGUUUUAUACAUUGUUUGUGCACCUGAACUCUGGUACAAAUUGAAAAUAUGUAUUUUUUUUUUUAUUGUGAUAAAUAUAAAUAUAUAGUUCAAUAAAAAAAAUUUUGAAAAAAAUAA